GGUCCGGUGGUGUAGCCCGGUUAACACGCCACACUGUCACUGUGGAGAGCGCGGGUUCAAAUCCCGUCCGGACCGCCA
rnacentral:tRNA from 1 species